rnacentral:ncRNA from 1 species
GGAGUAAAGCUUGCUGUGAGAAGUCAGCAGAGGCCAUAGUACCGAGAAGUUUUUUUUUUUCGGGAAGGGC